AUGCCGCGUGCAGGAUGAAGGCCUUCGGGUUGUAAACUGCUUUUGUACGGAACGAAACGGCGAGCUCUAAUAAAGUUUGCUAAUGACGGUACCGUAAGAAUAAGCACCGGCUAACUACGUGCCAGCAGCCGCGGUAAUACGUAGGGUGCGAGCGUUAAUCGGAAUUACUGGGCGUAAAGCGUGCGCAGGCGGUUAUAUAAGACAGAUGUGAAAUCCCCGGGCUCAACCUGGGACCUGCAUUUGUGACUGUAUAGCUAGAGUACGGUAGAGGGGGAUGGAAUUCCGCGUGUAGCAGUGAAAUGCGUAGAUAUGCGGAGGAACACCGAUGGCGAAGGCAAUCCCCUGGACCUGUACUGACGCUCAUGCACGAAAGCGUGGGGAGCAAACAGGAUUAGAUACCCUGGUAGUCCACGCCCUAAACGAUGUCAACUGGUUGUUGGGUCUUCACUGACUCAGUAACGAAGCUAACGCGUGAAGU
rnacentral:rRNA from 1 species